ACGCUGGCGGCAGGCUUAACACAUGCAAGUCGAACGGUAGCAGGAGAAAGCUUGCCUUCUUGCUGACGAGUGGCGGACGGGUGAGUAAUGCUUGGGAAUCUGGCUUAUGGAGGGGGAUAACUACGGGAAACUAUAGCUAAUACCGCGUAGUAUCGGAAGAUGAAAGUGCGGGACCGUAAGGCCGCAUGCCAUGAGAUGAGCCCAAGUGGGAUUAGGUAGUUGGUGGGGUAAAGGCCUACCAAGCCUGCGAUCUCUAGCUGGUCUGAGAGGAUGGCCAGCCACACUGGAACUGAGACACGGUCCAGACUCCUACGGGAGGCAGCAGUGGGGAAUAUUGCGCAAUGGGGGGAACCCUGACGCAGCCAUGCCGCGUGAAUGAAGAAGGCCUUCGGGUUGUAAAGUUCUUUCGGUAUUGAGGAAGGAGUGUAUGUUAAUAGCAUACAUUAUUGACGUUAAAUACAGAAGAAGCACCGGCUAACUCCGUGCCAGCAGCCGCGGUAAUACGGAGGGUGCGAGCGUUAAUCGGAAUAACUGGGCGUAAAGGGCACGCAGGCGGUUAUUUAAGUGAGGUGUGAAAGCCCCGGGCUUAACCUGGGAAUUGCAUUUCAGACUGGGUAACUAGAGUACUUUAGGGAGGGGUAGAAUUCCACGUGUAGCGGUGAAAUGCGUAGAGAUGUGGAGGAAUACCGAAGGCGAAGGCAGCCCCUUGGGAAUGUACUGACGCUCAUGUGCGAAAGCGUGGGGAGCAAACAGGAUUAGAUACCCUGGUAGUCCACGCUGUAAACGCUGUCGAUUUGGGGAUUGGGCUUAAAGCUUGGUGCCCGUAGCUAACGUGAUAAAUCGACCGCCUGGGGAGUACGGCCGCAAGGUUAAAACUCAAAUGAAUUGACGGGGGCCCGCACAAGCGGUGGAGCAUG
rnacentral:rRNA from 1 species